GACCUCAUCAAACCUCAUGAGGAAUUGAAGAAAAGUGGGAGAGGCAAAAAGAGACAGAGUUUCACCGUGUUGUCCAGGCUGGUCUCAAACUCCUGACCUCAAGCGAUCCGCCCACCUUGGCCUCCCAAAGAACUGGGAUUACAGAUGUGAGCCACUGCACCCUGCCAGAAAUGGUGAAUUUUGAAUUUGAAUUCAGCUCUUUCUCAAUUUAUGGCCCACAUUCUUUCUAGCAUCUACUUCCAAAGAUAGCCUAGAGAGUAUUUUUUAUCUUCUAUAGCUGUAAACCUUGAUAUGGGCAUUCUCUGAUGGCCUGUGUGUUUUGAAAAGAUUAAUGGAUAAGGCAGUGGAUUUCACUGCUAACCUUGCUACACCAUAGCUGUGUAACCUUGGGUAAGGCAGUUUCUUUAUCUGUAAAAGAAUGGAAAGAUCUCCUAAAUAAAGUACUCAGUAAACACUCCAUCAAUAUUAAA
rnacentral:sRNA from 1 species